rnacentral:misc_RNA from 1 species
CAAUACUGAAAAGAGCCUCAUAUUUGAUCUUUAUUUUAAUGAGCUUGUUCUCAGGCUUCAUCUGAAAGUGGAGCUAACUUGUUUACAGCAAGACGAGUUGAAAACCAAGCUUGAACUUUGUUUUUAACGUAAAUGUAAACAAAUUUGCUUUUACCAAAUAGUCAUUCAUUUGGUUUUAUUCUUUGAAAUCCUCUGUAUCCCAAAAUCUUAACAACCUUACAAACAUAAAACUUGAAGCUGCCUGCAUAAUUCUUAACUGUAAGAACUCACUCAAUGCCAGUUGCAAGUGACUGGAAGUUGCCAGAAGUUGUGCUGCUAGCAGAAACUUUCUUCAGUUAGAAGACAAUAAGCACAAGCAAUCAAAGAAAUUUUGCAUGUUUGGAAAAAGUCAUAGAUUAAAUCAGGAAAUCACAAGAGAAGUGAAGCAAACUAAAAGAGAAAAUCCUCCCAAUGAUAUUCCACAACAAUCUGUUCUAGUUACAUUGAAGUUUUUAUUGUUUUUCCUUGUAUUUAAGAGAUCAUACCCAAGAAACCAUGUCCAUUCUAGGCGUCUGAUGUGUGUUAGACAUAGGUACACUAGUGUAAUGCAAAGCAAUGGAGCAAGAAAGUCAUAAAGAUUUAAGUAUAAACUUGAGCACUUGAGCACUGCCCCCAAUGUAUCCCACAAAUUUUUUCCCCAGUUGUUCAACAUGGGACUUUAUUCACAACAACAAUUUGAAGAAAGAUUUAGAGUCAAAACAACAUACCUGAGAAAGUAUCACAUUCUUUCUUAUGAGAAACACAUUUUAGUAUUUCGUAUAUCUUUCUUCAUAUCAUGUGACUGACAGUUGUUACUUGUUAGUGCCACUUUCUCCUCAUGCAAACUUCCAAAAUUUCUUAACAUCAAGUUUGUACUAGUCCUCCUCCAUCAAAUCUAUCUAUCAGCAAUGAGGCUUUUUUUAUGUCUAUGAACUUAUACAUCAUAACGUACUUGCAUAUCAGUUUCAAAAGUGUCCUUAUACCUUAGUCUACAGUAGAAAGCUUACUCAGGACAAUGUGCACGAGCGCUCUAGCCAUUGGAUGAGAGAUAGUUGGCGCACUUGUGCCCACAUGUAUCAUCAAGGUCUGAAAUGUGGAGAUGUCCAAAAGCCUUUGAGAGCAUUGAUAUGUAACAUGCUCCAACUAAGCGACAUAUCUGAGUUCUGUGGUAGAAGGACUGUCAUCUCCUAAGAGUUCUCCACAAUGUGCUUGCAACCAUAUGAGAUUUGACGAGUGAAAAAAGGGAAAAUCGAAACCUCAUCUCCCUUCAAACUUCAAUCACGCA